AAGGCAGCAGCCCCAAGCUGUGCCCAGGUGGUCAGAGGAUACUCCUCCUGUCAUCACUGAGGGCUUUAUUCUCAGUUGUGCAGUUGCAGUAGCAGUGCCAUACAGCACAGGUUUCCGUGGAGCCAUUCAUCAUUCAUAGCUGGGAUCACAGAACACUUCACAGCCAAUUACAAGGCUACACAUGCAGGGAAUGGCAUCAGCUGCCUAGCCGAAGUUAAGCUUCCAGCUGGUUUCUGGGCUCACUCAGAGGAUGCUAAGGAUUUGGGGAAUGAAUGACAGCAUCAGACCUGACCUCUCUCCUGCUGACCCAAAAGAUGUCUCUGAGAUAUUCAGAGAUGAUGUUUUCUGGCGCCUUGAACACAAAAUGGGCACAAAAGUGAUCUCCUAAUAGCCCAUUCCGGAUUUUCUUCGACAGCAGCUUUAUGAAGGCAGGAAGCAACUGGAAUUGAACUGAGCAGUUCUGAAAAUACCAGGGAGCACUACAGCCAAAGACAAAACACAAACCAAAGGGGAGCUCAAAACUAAAGCAAAACCCAAACAGAUCUUUAGAUCACUUUCCAUAUUCUGUGAUAUGUCCAAGACCUUUUGAGUGUGAGUUUCAACGCACGUGUAGUUAAGAUUCCUAGAAGAUAUGCAAUCCAGAGAUGUCAGAAACACAGACAGGAACAAAUCAUGUGGUAUUUUAUGGGCAUGCAGGGACUGCCAGCUUGGAUGAAACAUACCUAAUUUUUAAGGGUCCUCAAAUGAUCCAUAUGGCUAAAAUGAAAUUCUGUUUGCAUCAACCCUAACAUGUUCGGUGCCUGAUUUUGUGAUCUGUGUGCUGAGCACUGCUUUACAUAGUUAUUCCUGUGGACUUCAGCAGAGCAACCUGCUGGUUAGGAUGCUCAGGGGAAGACCAGCAGAAUUGGACCUAAGCAAAUAUUUGCCAAGACUUUUAAAUGUACAAACCCCAUUUGGCUUAGAAAAACCACUCCAGCCUGCUGCGAUGUCUUCGAACUAAAGUAACAGAUUCCAUCUCUAGACUGAGAGCAUUUAUGACACGUUUGAAUUUAUUUGCCAUUUUUCUGUACAAGCUAAUGCUGAUGCCAGUAAAUAUUUAAACUUGGAGGUAAUGAAAUUGCAACAUGCCUUUUAGUUAAAACCAAAGCAUAUGCGAGCCUAGAUGGCAGGCAGAAAUUGCCCUCCAAUUCUUUUAGCAGGGAUUAUCUGGAGCUAAAUCAGAAUAGUUCAACAUAUAUCCAGCUUCUGUGUAGUUAUAAAGCUGCAUUAUUAGGGCAUUCUGCGCAGUACAAAGAGCAAGAGGACUUGUUUUUCAGCUGGUGUAAAUCACCACUGACAUCUACGGAGCUACUUAAGAGGCACAUCAGCUGAAGCUUUGGCCCACAGUCAUCAGAAAUGUGCAGCCAUCAUUCACUCCAUAUGUAAAACCCUCAGUGGUGGAAGUGCAGAGUGACAGUGUAAUCGACAUCAGAUAAAAAGCUGCUCUGUUAGCCUAGUUUCUGAUAACGCUUUGCCAGACUGUGUGGUCUAAAGUAGUUUUAUGAUGUGCUCUAUACUGCAUAGCUUUGCAAAAUACAGUAUUUCCUUACAGGCAAGGAUUAUGGUACAUUAAUCAUUUUAUUGGCAUGAUCAGUAAAAAAGGCAUGAAGAUAAAAGCUUUGGGAGUUUAUCUGCAUAGAGAUAUAUUGGCAAAAAUUAGUCUGGGGUUAGAAGGUUUGCUCUUGUGUGCAUAUUGGAUUAACUCCACUGAAAUCAGUAUUCCUAGACCAGUUUACACCAGUUGAGGAACUUGUACUCUGCCUCUGUCAUAAGUAAAGCAUGUUCAGGUGUUGUCCACUAUGCAGUUCGUUCAUGAAUUUAAGGGUAAAUGCCUCCUGCCAGUGAGUCAAAGCUUCUUCCUGUCUGUAGCUUCAUGGUGUCACUGAAGUCAGUGAUGGUUUCCCUGAGCAAGGGCUGAGUCAACACCCAGUCUGGUUGAAGAGCAAGCCUGCUUGCAGUUAUCCCAGCUCUGGUCCAGAGUCAUUGAAGUAAUUUCAGUGGGGUGAGUGCUCAACCAGAACAAAACCAGGUGUAAUUCCACUCAAUUAACUGGGUUAGUGCAACUGAAGUUCUGGCUCAAUAAACUUUGAUAAUGCUAUGCCAUUUCCAUUAACCAGCUUCUCCUUUGCUAAACAGUGCUCAGCAAGCUCUGUAAGACUCAUAUGAUUGCCAUACGACAGCAGAAUUUGGUCUCAUGAAUUCCACAGGCUGAGCCAAGUUACUUUACAUUUGCUUAGCUCAAGGUUUGGUCGAUUGUAGUUACUGUGUCUGUUAGAACAAUGAAAUUCACUUCAGAAUCUGACUUUAAUUCAGCGAAGGAAACCGAGUAAAAAUUAGGGCCAUCUCUUUUGGAUGGGUUUUCAGUGGAGUUACAACAGGGUGACACACACAAGUGUGAGUACACUCAUACAAGUGUGAGUACACUCACACUGUCAGCACAGACAGCUUACAGAACUUGCAUAGAGGGGAACACAGUUAAAACAAAGAAGAAAACAAGUCUCAAACAGCUGCAUCAUCCACUCACAUGGCUUUUACCACUGGCAUCAGCAGGACUCACCUAGAGCCCUGUAAGCAAGAGCAGCUCUAUGGACAUCCCAAUUAAAACAGCAACUCUGCAUGCAGUGAAUAUUGCCUCAGUUGGUGUUUCCAGCUGCAAUGCAAGUAAAAGUGAGUGCUCAAAUCCAAGUCCCAUUUGUAGCCACAGAGGAUGAAGACCUAAAAGCAAUGCAGAGCAAUAAUUCUACUGCAACCAGGUGGUGGGGCUGGGGGGGUCACUCAAUCCUGUUUGGCAGAGCACUUGUUGCUCACUAUGCCUCAUGCACACCAAUGCUAUGGCCAGGGCUACGUGGAGAUGCACACUGCACACAGACCUGCAGUUGUCUAACAUCCUGAGCAGGCUGAGGACUCAGGGAGCUCUGUACAGGUCUACAGCAUGUGAUAGGCAAGGUUGUGUCUCUUCUGUAGCCAUUCUCCAAUGCACUGAGUACACGCAUUGCUACUUGAGCUGGCUGCUGGGUCCCUGGGUUUGGUCCUUGCUGAAGUUGUAUGGGAAAAAUAGUUUAAUUCUAUGGUAGCUUCAGGGCAGUGACAAGCAGUGGCUCUCUGUGACAUGUGGUGACAGCUGUAGGUGGUUUAAGGAAUUGGAUGGUGUCAUAUUUGGAUUUUGUAGGAUACCAUGUUAAAGGUGUUACUUUGCAGGGCAUCUGAACACAGGAGAGUGCCCUUUCCCAAAAUGCACACACAGGUUACAUUUGUAAUGCCAGACCAUAACAACUUGUCCCAGUUUCUUUAAACCACUCUUCAUGUCUUUACCAUUGCCUAAUAUAAUUUAUGGGGUCAAAGAGCUGCCUGAGAUAUUGCUACAUACCCUGUAGUUCUGGGCACUGCUUAUCUUCAUAGUAUUUCUGUUGAAGUGCCUCCUGAUGAAGUCAGGUUUGAUUCUCAUCUGACACCAGUUUUAUGCAGUUUAACUCCUCUGUAGUUAAACUUGCUCUCAUUUUAGUCUGUAGAACCACAGGAUCCCCCUGGCUGUACAGAAGAUCUGAACUCAAGCUCUUCUGACUUCAACAGCUUACCACCACGGGUUUAAACUGGCAUGAGAUGAUCAGACUCAACAAUCUCGGAAGACAAAAGAAACAGACAAAACAGCUUCAAAACAGAACAGCUGAAAUAAAGCUACCGAGUCCAUCGCAAAGGCAGGUCUGAUGAGAACACUGCAGAGAAGAUGGCUACUCUGAAAGGCAGGCAGGAAGAGUCUGCAGUUGGCAGCACAGAUAUCGAAGGAGAGCCUUGCUGAGCUUUUAGCCUAUACAUACACAAUAACAAGUGCUAUAUCUAAAGUAUGGCACUAUAUGCAGUGAGAUCUCUUCAUCUGUUCAUCCCUCAUCAGACAAUACAGAAUGCCAGUAUGCACUGCUGCAUAUGGAGAUCUGGUUAUAUCAAGGAGGCCCAGGAGCAGAACUAGAGGACCUGAGCUGCCC